rnacentral:rRNA from 1 species
AGAGCGAACGCUGGCGGCAGGCCUAACACAUGCAAGUCGAGCGCGUGUAGCAAUACAGAGCGGCGCACGGGAGAGUAACGCGUGGGAACCUACCUUUUGGUUCGGGAUAACACCGGGAAACUGGUGCUAAUACCGGAUAAGCCCUUCGGGGGAAAGAUUUAUUGCCGAAAGAUGGGCCCGCGUUGGAUUAGCUAGUUGGUGAGGUAAUGGCUCACCAAGGCUACGAUCCAUAGCUGGUCUGAGAGGAUGGUCAGCCUCACUGGGACUGAGACACGGCCCAGACUCCUACGGGAGGCAGCAGUGGGGAAUAUUGGACAAUGGGGGCAACCCUGAUCCAGCAAUGCCGCGUGAGUGAUGAAGGCCUUAGGGUUGUAAAGCUCUUUCGCCCGCGACGAUGAUGACGGUAGCGGGAGAAGAACGCCCGGCUAACUCGUGCCAGCAGCCGC